rnacentral:rRNA from 1 species
UACGUAGGUGGCAAGCGUUGUCCGGAUUUACUGGGCGUAAAGGGCGUGCAGGCGGUUCGUUAAGUUCAGGGUGAAAGCCCCCGGCUCAACUGGGGGAGGUCCUUGGAUACUGGCGGACUAGAGGGAGGUAGAGGAGAGUGGAAUUCCCGGUGUAGUGGUGAUAUGCGUAGAUAUCGGGAGGAACACCAGUGGCGAAGGCGGCUCUCUGGGCCUUUCCUGACGCUGAGACGCGAAAGCGUGGGGAGCGAACCGG